CCUACGGGCGGCAGCAGUGGGGAAUAUUGCACAAUGGGCGAAAGCCUGAUGCAGCAACGCCGCGUGAGCGAUGAAGGCCUUCGGGGCGUAAAGCUCUGUCCUCAAGGAAGAUAAUGACGGUACUUGAGUAGGAAGCCCCGGCUAACUACGUGCCAGCAGCGGCGGUAAUACGUAGGGGGCUAGGGUUAUCCGGCAUUACUGGGGGUAAAGGGUGCGUAGGUGGUUUUUUAAGCCAGAGGUGAAAGGCUGCGGCUCAACCGUAGUAAGCCUUUGAAACUGUGACGCUUGAGUGCAGGAGAGGAGAGUGGAAUUCCUAGUGUAGCGGUGAAAUGCGUAGAUAUUAGGAGGAACACCAGUGGCGAAGGCGGCUCUCUGGACUGUAACUGACACUGAGGCACGAAAGCGUGGGGAGCAAACAGGAUUAGAUACCCUGGUAGUC
rnacentral:rRNA from 1 species